GCAGGUCAGCGGCUAUUCUUCCCACCUGAAAAGCGGAAGGUCGGCGGUUCGAUCCCGCCCCUGGCCACCA
rnacentral:tRNA from 1 species